rnacentral:tRNA from 1 species
CGGUAGUUCAGUUGGUUAGAAUACCGGCCUGUCACGCCGGGGGUCGCGGGUUCGAGUCCCGUCCGCUCC